CAGGGAUUGCGUUAGUAACGGCGAGUGAAGGGGCAACAGGUCAAAUUUGAAAUUUGGCCCUUAGGGUCCGAGUUGUAAUUUGUAGAGGAUGUUUUUGGCACGGUGCCUUCGGAGUUCCCUGGAACGGGACGCCACAGAGGGUGAGAGCCCGGUAUGGUUGGACAGUAAGCCUCUGUAAAGCUCUUUCAAUGAGUCGAGUAGUUUGGGAAUGUUGCUAUAAAUGGGAGGUAAAUAUGUUAUUAAGUUAAAUAGUGGCCAGAGACCGAUAGCGCACAAGUAGAGUGAUAGAAAGAUGAAAAGCACAAAGAAAAGGGGGUUAAACAGUACGUGAAAUUGUUGAAAGGGAAGCACUUGUCCCCAGACGUGCGCCGGGCGGUUCAUCAGAGGCUUUGCCCCUGUGUAUGCCGUCCGGUUCAGGCUAGCAUCGGUUUUCGCUGGGGGAGAAGAACAGUUGGAACGUGGCUCGCCUUCGGGGGAGUGUUAUAGCCUUUUGUACGAUGCCCCGGCGGGGACUGAGG
rnacentral:rRNA from 1 species